AUUGAACGCUGGCGGCAGGCCUAACACAUGCAAGUCGAACGAGUGGCGGACGGGUGAGUAAUGUCUGGGAAACUGCCUGAUGGAGGGGGAUAACUACUGGAAACGGUAGCUAAUACCGCAUACCAUCAGAUGUGCCCAGAUGGGAUUAGCUAGUUGGUGGGGUAACGGCUCACCAAGGCGACGAUCCCUAGCUGGUCGGAGAGGAUGACCAGCAACACUGGAAGUGAGACACGGUCCAGACCACUACGGGAGGCAGAAGUGGGGAAUAUGGCACAAUGGGCGAAAGCUUGAUGCAGCCAGCCCGAGUUUAUGAAGAAGGCCUCCGGGUUGUAAAGUACUUUCGGGGGGGAGGCGGUACCCGCAGAAGAAGCACCGGCUAACUCCGUGCCAGCCGCCGCGGUAAUAC
rnacentral:rRNA from 1 species